rnacentral:rRNA from 1 species
CCUACGGGGGGCUGCAGUGGGGAAUAUUGGACAAUGGGCGAAAGCCUGAUCCAGCCAUGCCGCGUGUGUGAAGAAGGCCUUCGGGUUGUAAAGCACUUUCAGUGGGGAAGAAAGCCUUGGGGCUAAUACCCUCGAGGAAGGACAUCACCCACAGAAGAAGCACCGGCUAACUCCGUGCCAGCAGCCGCGGUAAUACGGAGGGUGCGAGCGUUAAUCGGAAUUACUGGGCGUAAAGCGCGCGUAGGCGGUCUGAUAAGCCGGUUGUGAAAGCCCCGGGCUCAACCUGGGAACGGCAUCCGGAACUGUCAGGCUAGAGUGCAGGAGAGGAAGGUAGAAUUCCCGGUGUAGCGGUGAAAUGCGUAGAGAUCGGGAGGAAUACCAGUGGCGAAGGCGGCCUUCUGGACUGACACUGACGCUGAGGUGCGAAAGCGUGGGUAGCAAACAGGAUUAGAUGCCCUAGUAGUC